CAAGAUCUGUCUGAAUGGUGAAAUCCCAGAACACAAACAGAAGAUAACAUAUUGCGUAAUAGCUUGCAUCAAUCAAUUAUAAUUUACUGCUGAAAUUCUGUGGAUACUGUAUGAUACCAUGCUGGGUUUCAGGUAAAGUUAAGUUGUUCUUCGAAUAGUAUUUCAAGACACGGUGUAGAUUAUUAUGACUAUCCUACUAGUAUUUUAAGACACAGUGUAGAUUACUAUGGCUAUCCUACUAGUAUUUUAAGACACAGUGUAGAUUACUUUGGCUAUCCUACUAGUAUUUUAAGACACGGUGUGGAUUACUAUGGCUGUCCUACUAGUAUUUUAAGACACAGUGUAGAUUACUAUGACUAUCUUAUUAGUAUUUUAAGACACGGUGUAGAUACCUAAGGCUGUCCUACUAGUAUUUUAAGACACGGUGUAGAUUACUAUGGCUUUCCUACUAGUAUUUUAAGACACGGUGUAGAUUACUAUGGAUAUCCUACUAGUAUUUUAAGACACGGUGUAGCUUUCUAUGACUAUCCUACUAGUAUUUUCAGACACCGUGUAGAUUACUAUGACCAUCCUACUAGUAUUUUAAGACACGGUGUAGAUUAUGACUAUCCUACUAGUAUUUUAAGACACGGUGUAGAUUUUAAGACACGGUGUAGAACUAUGACUAUCCUACUAGUAUUUUAAGACACGGUGUAGAUUUCUAUGACUAUCCUACUAGUAUUUUAAGACACCGUGUAAACUACUAGUAUUUUAAGACACGGUGUAGAUACCUAUGACUAUCCUACUAGUAUUUUAAGACACGGUGUAGAUUUCUAUGACUAUUCUACUAGCGAUUACAUUAGCGCUGAAAAAAGGGGAACAAAUAAAUCUGCUUCAUUAAAAAUUCGCUAUUGUUGUGUCAACUGUAAACGUUAAACAUACUAAACUAAUGCAUGCAAGUGUAAGUAAACUAAGUUUAAAACGAUGUCUAGAAAACUUUUGAAUGGGUAUAAGCAUCUGUCGGGUAUAAGAAAACACCUCCAAAAUAUGCACACAAAAAAGCAAUAAGGGAAACGAUACAAAAAAAUGUAACUAAAGGUCAACCUACUGUCCGAAUGGCAUCUUUAUCAGAUAUAAAUCAAGCUCUAUCGCGCCCUAAAAAUGAAAAAUGUUGUAAGUAUUCUAAAAUCAUGAGAAUGAUCAGAAAAAGACUCCUAAACAUAUGACAAAAUACAAACAACUCGUAUGAUCCCCGACACAGUGUUAUGUGAAGGUUUUAAGUGAAGGUUUUAAAAUGCUUUUUCAGAUAUUAGAUUUGCAAAUGUAUUUAGUAAAUUAGUUGAUACAAACGGUUCAUUGACCACUUUAUAAUAUUUUCAUUUGCAUAAAUGACAACAACAGCUUAGAAAGAGGAUCUCCGUUUUCAAUUUCAAUUAAAGAUAACAAAAGAUUAAAUAUGUAACUGAAAAAAGUUUGUGUUAAUUGGAGUUGUCUUUUAAAUGUUUCCCGAAGUCCAAAAUGUAAAUCUUUGAAAAUGACAAGAAUGAAAUUUCAAAGCUUAAGAAUGAAAGUUAAACUAUACAAAAGUUUCCAUUUCCAUUAUGUUCUUAUUUAAUUUACACAAUUAUGACUAGGUAGUAUCUAAGAUAUCAUGCUACAUGGCGGAUCCAGAAUUUUUACAAGGGUAGGGGGUCUGACUGUCCAAAGAGGAGGCCCGCUCCAGUGAUGCUUCGGUAAUUCCCUUUGUAUAAUCCGCAUAUGACAUCAGAGACGUUUGAUUCUGUUCAAACUUUACCUCAUCUUCUUUUUUUUAUAUGAAGUAUAAUUAAAACGUGUUGUAGAUGUUAAAUUAAAAUUUAUUUCUGUAUGGUUAGAAUGUAAAAUUGAGAAAGGAAAUGGUGAAUAUGUCAAAGCGACAACCACCCGACCAUAGAGCAAACAACAGCCGAAGGCAACAAUGGUCUUCAAUGUAGCGAGAAUUCCCGCACCCGUAGGUGUCCUUCAGCUGGCCCUAAAUAUGCAUAAUAGUACAGUGAUAAUGGACGUCAUACUAAACUCCGAAUUAUACACAAGAAACUAAAAUUUAAAAUCAUACAAGACUAACAAAGGCCAGAGGCUAUAGUUCCAAUUCUUAUCAUCUACAGAGAUUCAUUGAAUGAACCAAAGAUGUAAAGAUCAGUAAACAAUACAAAGGAAUAAAUUAUCCAGACAAAUCACGAAGACAGAAAACUCAAGCUUCUAUGCUUUCAUCUUGAUUCAGUUCCUACAAUUAAAUGUUAAACAGCGAUACUUAUGGACGAAAUUCGAAUUGAAACAUCGAUGGAACCAUUAGACUGACACAUAUACAUUUCACUAAAUCGAUAUUUCAUAAAUUACAGGAAGUGAAUGUAUUGAUUGUUGCUUGCUUAACGUCCAAUAGCAAAUAUGUUAUGCAUAUUCAAACGAAACCAAAUUAACAGUUUUUGCAAGAGUUCUUAAAAUGCAGAGAUCGUGGCACUCUGUCUACAUAAUGAAUCGUAUUUGACGUCCAUAUUCUGACUAGACGUGAAUGCUUCUUUGUACAAACAAACGGCCAAACGAACGCCUUUUUUAUCAAAGGUUUCACUGCUCUUGUUUUACUGGUUUACAACAGAUGUCUAUAUUUAGAUACCCCAGUGUUCACUUGAUAUGUUAUUAAUUGAUUUCAAUGUGAGUCCAGUUGCAAAUAUUUCAUGCAUAGUCAUAACGAGA
rnacentral:lncRNA from 1 species